AAAUAAUGUAAGAUAGCCUGCUGUAAAAUAACCCAAAAGUAUUCUUAUAUAACAUGUGUUUGUAUUAGGCGCAUGACGUCCAUCCACCUGUUUUUUUUUUAAUGGUCAUUGUCAAUUUGUGCAUAAAGCAGCUGGAUGGAAACGGCGAAAAUUCUUUUAAAAAAUCGAAAGAAAAAUUUUGGUUGAGGUGGAAAAGUUGGUAGCCUACACCCGGCAGGGCUCAGCUGUCAACAUCAUAGCCUUAAUGGCUGUAGGGAAACAUUACUGAUAUUAUGGUGAGCACAGAAGCACAUCCUCUGGUCUCCAGGAGACAGCUGUGGGGGAAAGCAUUGUCCCCUGAGGUGCAAUUAAAGUGAAGAGAGAUGACACUCCUUUCAUUUGAUCACCUGGUAAAAUGUCUUCACAUCCAUCCACCGACUGAUCCAGCCAGAGUUUAGUUCAAAGUGACAAAAGCCUAAAUGGAGCAGGCAAAAUCCAAAAUCCAAGAACAGGAAAGGUCCAAGAAAGUAAAAGUCCACACAACACUGGGAAAAGGAUAAUGAGGGAACUGAGGAGCAGAUUGGGACAGAAAGGGGUCAUGAUCUCCCCCCUUGUAUGACCACCUGUUGUCACAUGACCAAAGUUCCACAGUUAGGUAACGUAAUGACAGCUGAGCCAGUUCCAUUUGAUGAUGAAGACUGAGAUUGCAGCUGAAAGCUCCAAAAAAGCUACUGGAAACCCUGCAUUCGUGUCUCGCAGCUCAGAUGGGCGCCCACUUUGGAGAUGUCACUUUCUGUGGGAAUCUUUUAGCCAAAUCACUCUGAGACAUAGCACCAGAUCCAAGAUCAGCUUUCAUCUCUUUACUUCUCGUCUUCCCCUGCAGUCACAUCCUGACCCCCUGACCAACUCUGACACCCUCUGCUAUUAUAAAUAUAAGCCUCAAAAAGCUAAAAGAAAUGUUUGGCUUUCAUCUUCAGGCUCUUCAAGGUGUCUGUAGUCUGUGUGCCAUCAUUUUCAUCUUCAGGAUACAGAUAAGACAAGACAUGCUCAUUUAAUAAGUCCAUAGUGAAUUCUUGGAAUUCCAGUUUCAGCACAAACGUGUGAUGACCCUCUGACUGAUCCAAGAAAAAUAUCGAGGAGGAAACAGCAGUGCUGAAAAAGAAAAGUUUCCCUUCAUGCAGUAGGAGAGGAACUACAAAAAUCCUUUACGUACAGCUGCACUAAACAAUCAUUUUUUAUAUUAACAAUAAAGCAAAUGACUCUGUAUGAAGUGAAAGG